CAAAAAAAAAAAUUCAUUGAAUAUUUUAUUAAAAAUAUUUCAUGAUCAGGUGUGAGAACUAGUAAUAUAGGUACACAAUUUACAACAAAAACCUUUUUUUACAGUUAUGAAGAUGUAACUGCAUUUCAUAUUGUUGAAACAUCAUCAUCAUUGUUGUAGCAAUGCUGAGGUUGACAAUUGUAGUCAAACUGAAUUUCCUUUUGUUUGGACCAAUACAAUUACCGGUAUCUAUAAGAGACAAUCUCAAUACACUUGACAAUGCAAUGAAUUGAAUAAUGUAUUAUCAUUAUAGCCGCACUUCCUUUUGUCUACCAGAGUCCUAGAGAGAUUAAG